rnacentral:misc_RNA from 1 species
GAUGAAGAACGUAGCGAAAUGCGAUAAGUAAUGUGAAUUGCAGAAUUCAGUGAAUCAUCGAAUAUUUGAACGCACAUUGCGCCCCUUGGUAUUCCGAGGGGCAUGCCUGUUCGAGCGUCAUUAUAACCCCUCAAGCUCAGCUUGGUGUUGGGGCCUGCUGCACUGGCAGCCCUUAAAAUCAGUGGCGGCGCCAUCUGGCUCUAAGCGUAGUAAUUCUUCUCGCUAUGGAGUCCUGGUGGAUGCUUGCCAUCAACCCCCAAUUUUUCUAUGGUUGACCUCGGAUCAGGUAGGGAUACCCGCUGAACUUAAGCAUAUCAAUAAGCGGAGGA